CACAUGCAGUCGAACGGUGAAGCAGAGCUUGCUCUGUGGAUCAGUGGCGAACGGGUGAGUAACACGUGAGCAACCUGCCCCUGACUCUGGGAUAAGCGCUGGAAACGGCGUCUAAUACUGGAUAUGAGCUGCGAUCGCAUGGUCAGCAGUUGGAAAGAUUUUUCGGUCUGGGAUGGGCUCACGGCCUAUCAGCUUGUUGGUGAGGUAAUGGCUCACCAAGGCGUCGACGGGUAGCCGGCCUGAGAGGGUGACCGGCCACACUGGGACUGAGACACGGCCCAGACUCCUACGGGAGGCAGCAGUGGGGAAUAUUGCACAAUGGGCGAAAGCCUGAUGCAGCAACGCCGCGUGAGGGAUGACGGCCUUCGGGUUGUAAACCUCUUUUAGCAGGGAAGAAGCGAAAGUGACGGUACCUGCAGAAAAAGCGCCGGCUAACUACGUGCCAGCAGCCGCGGUAAUACGUAGGGCGCAAGCGUUAUCCGGAAUUAUUGGGCGUAAAGAGCUCGUAGGCGGUUUGUCGCGUCUGCUGUGAAAUCCCGAGGCUCAACCUCGGGUCUGCAGUGGGUACGGGCAGACUAGAGUGCGGUAGGGGAGAUUGGAAUUCCUGGUGUAGCGGUGGAAUGCGCAGAUAUCAGGAGGAACACCGAUGGCGAAGGCAGAUCUCUGGGCCGUUACUGACGCUGAGGAGCGAAAGGGUGGGGAGCAAACAGGCUUAGAUACCCUGGUAGUCCACCCCGUAAACGUUGGGAACUAGUUGUGGGGUCCAUUCCACGGAUUCCGUGACGCAGCUAACGCAUUAAGUUCCCCGCCUGGGGAGUACGGCCGCAAGGCUAAAACUCAAAGGAAUUGACGGGGACCCGCACAAGCGGCGGAGCAUGCGGAUUAAUUCGAUGCAACGCGAAGAACCUUACCA
rnacentral:rRNA from 1 species